rnacentral:rRNA from 1 species
UACGAGGGGGGCAAAUGUUGUUCGGAAUCACUGGGCGUAAAGGGAGCGUAGGCGGGUUUCUAAGUCAGGUGUUUAAUCCCGGGGCCCAACCCCGGACAGGCACUUGAAACUGGGAAUCUUGAAUAGUGGAGAGGUAAGUGGAAUUCCGAGUGUAGAGGUGAAAUUCGUAGAUAUUCGGAAGAACACCAGUGGCGAAGGCGACUUACUGGACACAUAUUGACGCUGAGGUGCGAAAGCGUGGGGAGCAAACAGG